UACGUAGGGGGCAAGCGUUGUCCGGAUUUAUUGGGCGUAAAGGGCGCGUAGGCGGUUUCUUAAGUUUGGAGUGACAGUGGGUGGCUUAACUACCCCAGGCCUCUGAAAACUGGGGAACUUGAGGACCAGAGAGGGACAUAGAAUUCCGGGUGGAGUGGUGAAAUGCGUAGAUAUCCGGAGGAAUACCAAAGGCGAAGGCAGUGUCCUGGAGGGUGACUGACGCUGAGGCGCGAAAGCUAGGGGAGCGAACAGG
rnacentral:rRNA from 1 species